CCUACGGGAGGCAGCAGUGGGGAAUAUUGGGCAAUGGGCGCAAGCCUGACCCAGCAACGCCGCGUGAAGGAAGAAGGCUUUCGGGUUGUAAACUUCUUUUGUCAGGGACGAAACAAAUGACGGUACCUGACGAAUAAGCCACGGCUAACUACGUGCCAGC
rnacentral:rRNA from 1 species